CUCUCUUCUCUUCAUGGACGGAGGGAGCUGCCCCCAUUUCGCCUCUUGCCCUUUUCGCGACUACCAUUACCGCACUGCGCAUACCGGCGGACCGCAGAAGCCAAUCGCCAAGGGAAGAAUUGCUGCUGGGCCUGGCUGCUACCAAUCGCCAACACCGUAAAGGGCGCAGACUACGGCGAGCACCCUCUGCCGACUGCCGAGGCUCACCCGCUCAGGCGCUCAUGGCAGAUGAGGCUUCUAUCCUUGAGGAUCUCACAGAGGACUUUCGCCUACCAAUUAGUCACAGACCAACAGAAAAUGUCGAUCUAGAAAAUGUUGAGCAAUCAUCAUUAGACAAACAGUUAACAUCAUCCAAUGUCGGAUUCAGGCUUCUUCAGAAAAUGGGGUGGAAAGGAAACGGCCUUGGAAAAAAUGAGCAAGAUUUGGUAGAGUGGCAAUUCUGAAAGCAGAGAAAGAUGUUUCAAAAGGGGCUUUUUUCCCAGUUGUGAACAUUGGUAAUAAUAAGCAUGGGGCUGGUGAUAAGGUUAGAGAUAAACAGAAGGAUAUGCAAGACAUGGAGUCAACCCUAAAAGAGUUAUUGGACCAAUCCUCCUCCUUUCGACUAUUAGAGCUCAAGCAUCUUCACCUUGCUGUCUAAUAAAGCUGAAAAUGCUGCCUUGAAGGCAACUGAUUUUGGCCUCUCUGUGUUCAUUGAGCAAGGGUGAAAAUGUUGAGAAAUGUAGUUUAAGCAUCUGAUCGUUGACGAGUUUAAGAAAGUUUAACAACUCUCAUCCUUGCAAAGGUGAGCUCGGUUGGAGUUACUGGAGCUCGGGCAUCUGUGAGUGACAAGGUUGAGUCCAUUCUAAAGCAAAUUAAGGAGUUCCAACAAGUUGAUUAUGACAAAGCGGUUAUUGAUCUGGUGCGUUCAGAAUGGGCCGAUAUUCUAUCAAGUUAUAUAGAGUAGGUAUGAUUUGACGUUGUGAUCAUUUAGACUUGGUUCGUGGAUUGGAAUUGUUUUUUCUUUUUUUUGGUAGUAUUAUGACUUGGAUGAUGAUUUGAUUAGAAUUGGUCAUGCUCAGUAUUUUGACUUGUUAUUAUGAACCUUGCUUAGCUUGUGCAAUGUAACUAUACUUGGUCA